GACGAACGCUGGCGGCGUGCCUAAUACAUGCAAGUUGAGCGCUGAAGGUUGGUACUUGUACCAACUGGAUGAGCAGCGAACGGGUGAGUAACGCGUGGGGAAUCUGCCUUUGAGCGGGGGACAACAUUUGGAAACGAAUGCUAAUACCGCAUAAAAACUUUAAACACAAGUUUUAAGUUUGAAAGAUGCAAUUGCAUCACUCAAAGAUGAUCCCGCGUUGUAUUAGCUAGUUGGUGAGGUAAAGGCUCACCAAGGCGAUGAUACAUAGCCGACCUGAGAGGGCGAUCGGCCACAUUGGGACUGAGACACGGCCCAAACUCCUACGGGAGGCAGCAGUAGGGAAUCUUCGGCAAUAGACGAAAGUCUGACCGAGCAACGCCGCGUGAGUGAAGAAGGUUUUCGGAUCGUAAAACUCUGUUGGUAGAGAAGAACGUUGGUGAGAGUGGAAAGCUCAUCAAGUGACGGUAACUACCCAGAAAGGGACGGCUAACUACGUG
rnacentral:rRNA from 1 species